CUCUUAUCAGGCACCUUUGGGCCGGAGACCCAGCUCUCCCUGCGAGUGCUCGGGCUGCAUCCACCCGCAGGGGCCGUCCUCUGCUGCCCUUCCUCUCCGGCAGCGCUUGGCCGCAGGGCACGGACGGUUGCUCAACCCGGAAAGGGCGCCCUGCUCCCCCCCGCCCCAGCAGGACGCUCCUCCCGCAGUCAGGGACUCCGUCCACACCUCCACAAGAGCAUCCUUUACUCAAAACACAAGGCAACGUCGGAGCCGGGAGCAGGGGCCAGGUCACGCCUGCCCCUUGCCUUGUUCCAGCACAAAGUCGGGCCCCGGAAGGCAGCUUUGCCCGACUGCGGUGCAGAGGCCCUUGGCUGCCUCCAGCCAGGAGCAACCCCCCCCAGGGGUGCGGGGCCGCGACCGCCACCGCACGCUCCCCUGCCUUUGCCCAGGGAGGCAGAGGCCAGCCCCAGGCCCGGUGCUCAGCAGCAGCUCACGCGUACCCAGCCCCAGAGCAUCGCCCUGGUGCGCGCGUGUUUUUGGGGCAUCCAGCAGCACACGGCCCCCGGCCCCGAACACCGGCAGCAACACCCCACCUCCACUGCACCUCCAGCACAGGAGCAGCUCCACGCUGAGCRCAAAAAAUCCCUUUCCAAACAGCUCCCUUCUCCACCGGGGCGAGGGCUGCUGCUCUCCCGCUGGCUCUGCCAUGGCGCGCGUCCCCCGCCACAGCGUGGGGACGCGCUCAGAUCUGCGUGGUGUCCUGGCCCRCCGGCGCCGGCUCCAGCCCCUCCAGCUGGUCGAGGACAUCAGUUAUGUGGGGCCGCUCCUGGGGGUUCACAGUCAGCAUGGAGGAGAGCAGGCGGUGCAGGGCAGCCGAAUACCUGCCGGGAACAGGGCAGCGGGGUUCAGCGCRGCCCCGCGGGGGCUGCGGGGAGCGGGGCCGCCCGGCCCCUCACCUGGAGUCGGGGGGCACRGCGACGGGGUUCUGCACCGCCAGGGCCACGCUGUCGCCCUUCUGGAAGAUCAUGUCGAAGGGGCCCUCGCCGAACAUCAUGCAGUACAGCACGCAGCCUAGGGACUGAAGCGGCGCGGGGUGAGGGCCGCCCCUCGCCCGGCGGCCCCGGGGCGGCCCCGGCGCCCGAUGCUUACCCAGAUAUCGGUGCGCUCGUCUAUGACGCACUGGCUCUGCACCGUGAAGAGCUCGGGGGCCCG
rnacentral:lncRNA from 1 species